UAAGUAGAAGCUCGCUGGAUUGAGUGUUUAGUUGUUAACUAAGUGUUCGUGGGAUAGAAGCCCGCCUGCUUAG
rnacentral:tRNA from 1 species